AUGUGCUACAAAGUGAGUAUCAGAAAACACCUCCAGACACCUGGACUGUCAAAGACCACACGGCAGGAACAUUCUCCUGGAGACGCUGAGAAAGCACGGAAGGAAUGUCUGUGGAGGAUGUACUCAAACACACUCAUACUUAAGAACACCUGCUGGAGGGACCCUGCUACACCCUUUCCUACCAUACAGCUGAUGGAUACUGACUGUAAAAUGGCAAUCAUAGGAGGAGGGCUCAGUGUGGUGACAGAAGAUGGAAUAGACGUGUGCCAGUGCACCAGCCUUGAUGAAGCCUUCAUAACAGCCUUCUGUAUGUAUUCUGCUUUCAACACUGCAUAUCCAACAUACCUGAGAAAGACACUGACUUUCCUUCAGAGGCACAUUCUCAACAUUAGAAGAUGGAGACAAGCACUGCCCGUAACUUUACUCUGAAUGAUCAUCCUUUUGUAUGGAGAAGGGUCUGGCUGCAGACUUGCACUUGCACUCUCAGACACUUGCGCUUCUGCUAGUGACAACACUUGCAGUCUUUUUUAUUUUAUAUUUAGUUCUACUUAUUGGUUACUUUUUGUUUGAAUCUCUCAACAUUUGUUUUUUUUCUUGUGUAGGUAUCAUUGACUGGAAAUCUGUCAGUCCAGAUGUGAGGAAGACCUACAGAGUGAGUUUGAGCUCAGCAGGUGUGAUGGCUGUGGAUGCAUCUACAGAAACACCACUGGAUACUGUAGCCAUGGAAAGAAGGGGGUCUUCACAGCUUUCUAUUCAGAAUUGUUGGAUUCUGUUCUAUGGACUGCUACUACAGAAUGAAUGAAUGAGUGGUUUAUCUAUCUAUCUAUCUGUCUAUCUAUCUAUAAUUUUUUUUUUUUACUUGAAUUGGCGACUGAAACUGAAAGCUAAAUAAAUGUUUUAGUGGAUAAAGCUGUGUCUGUUUG
ensembl:lncRNA